UACGGAGGGUGCAAGCGUUAUCCGGAUUCACUGGGCUUAAAGGGUGCGUAGGUGGGUUUGUAAGUCAGUGGUGAAAUCUCCAAGCUUAACUUGGAAACUGCCGUUGAUACUAUAAAUCUUGAAUGUUGUGGAGGUGAGCGGAAUAUGUCAUGUAGCGGUGAAAUGCUUAGAUAUGACAUAGAACACCAAUUGCGAAGGCAGCUCACUACACAAAGAUUGACACUGAGGCACGAAAGCGUGGGGAUCAAACAGG
rnacentral:rRNA from 1 species